CAGAUUCGUGGAAUAGCGAUUAAAUGCGGAAUAAUAGCACACACACAAAUUAAUAACGGAGUUCGGUCAAUUAUGCCUACGUCUCCGGGCUGCUGCAGACCUUUUAUAGAAAGGAGAAAUAUACACUGUGUUUACAAACACUCACACUCUCUCACAAACCCACAACCCAAUUACACCCAAGAAUAUCUCUCACUAAGAUUUUCUCACUCUGGGAUUUUUCUCACA
rnacentral:lncRNA from 1 species